CCUACGGGGGGCACCAGUAGGGAAUCUUCGGCAAUGGACGAAAGUCUGACCGGGCAACGCCGCGUGAGUGAAGAAGGUUUUCGGAUCGUAAAACUCUGUUGUUAGAGAAGAACAAGUAAGAGAGUAACUGCUCUUACCUUGACGGUAUCUAACCAGAAAGCCACGGCUAACUACGUGCCAGCAGCCGCGGUAAUACGUAGGUGGCAAGCGUUGUCCGGAUUUAUUGGGCGUAAAGCGAGCGCAGGCGGUCUUUUAAGUCUGAUGUGAAAGCCCUCGGCUCAACCGAGGAAGGUCAUUGGAAACUGGAGGACUUGAGUGCAGAAGAGGGGAGUGGAAUUCCAUGUGUAGCGGUGAAAUGCGUAGAUAUAUGGAGGAACACCUGUGGCGAAGGCGACUCUCUGGUCUGUAACUGACGCUGAGGCUCGAAAGCGUGGGGAGCAAACAGGAUUAGAUACCCCUGUAGUC
rnacentral:rRNA from 1 species